rnacentral:RNase_P_RNA from 1 species
UCAGACGGCCGGACGGUCGCUCCCGCGUGCGCGCCACGCGGGGGAGGAAAGUCCGGGCUCCACGGAAGCACGGUGCCGGGUAACGCCCGGCGGGGGCGACCCCAGGGAAAGUGCCACAGAAAGCAUACCGCCGCGUACGGGGCGUACGGCGCACGUACACCCGCGCGGUAAGGGUGAAAGGGUGCGGUAAGAGCGCACCGCGCCCCUGGCAACAGGGGCGGCCAUGGUAAACCCCACCGGGAGCAAGACCAGAUAGGGGCGGCACGCCGGCCGGCACGCCCGGCCGGCAGGCGAGGCUUCCGCGCCGGCCGCCCGGGUCGGUCGCGCGAGGCGUCCGGUAACGGGCGUCCCAGAGGAAUGGCCGUCACCCGUGACAGGUGUGGGUUCGCCCUGGCCUGGCACGGGCCCACAGAACCCGGCUUACAGGCCGUCUGACCCC